AUCAUCAUCAUCAUUAACUAUUGUUAAAAAAAAAAAUAGAAUUUCCUAAAUAUGGGAUAAGGAAAGUAUUUCAUAUCUUAUUUUAAUCUUAUUUUUUAUUGAACUGCAUUGCAAGAAUAACACAAUAAUGCUUGCAUUUGGAAAGUUUUUUUUCAUGCAAAAAGUAUAUGAGUCAUUGCUAUUUAAAACAAUAUAAGUUGAAGAAAAAAAAAUUAUUGUGUUCACCUAGGGAUUACUGCUUCUUUUUCUUCUACUUCUACCUUAUGGUCUCUCUGCUGUCAUUAAGUGAAAUUCAGUUUUUCCACUGUUAAUGGUGGCACAGGCACUUCAUUCAAAUAUUGCCAAGUCUUCUGAUGGUGUAGUUAAAACCUUAAUGCAUAUUUUUGUGAGAUUACUGGAAAAGUGAACGUACUGUUAAAUUGUUCUGCAAUUUCAUACAGUUGUUCUGGUUCAAACACUGGAGACUGGCUGUCUUAUACUUAUGUGUGUGCCUCAUCUGAGAAACUAAAGUUUUCUGGCACAUAGUUCACGCUGACUGCGUGAGAUGACAAAGUUCAGAGUCUUUGUCCAUAAAACCAAAACCUCAUCCAAUUUGAAUUUGGGCGAUCUUUCCCUUCAAGGUCAAGAUUUCGUGCACCUCUGGAUUUCUUUCUGCGUUUUUACUAGUUUUAGAUAUUUCCCAGGAAGUUCCAGUAUGAAAAAUUUCACAUCUUUCUGUGAAUAUCACCAUGGACCACCAGACUUAAAAAGAGAGCAAACACAUUUCGAUGAGAGAGGGGCUUCUGAAAACUGAGGUUAGUUGUCUUGUUCAUUAUAACUAAGAUAUCAAAGUAAAGAUGCACCAAUUCCAACAGUGAGCUGCCAAUUCCGAUUCUCUAAAACUAUACUUACAGCUAUAACUGACAGCACAUAGACAGCACGUACAAACAAAAGUCAACUUUUCUGAAUUGUUAAACUGCAGGUUCUUCUCUCAUUGAAGCAACUGAGAAUAAACUGAGAAUUUACAUGAUAUUUUUUAUCUUGCUAAAGAGAAGCAGGUGAAACAGGUUAAUAUAACAAUACAAAUGUCAGGUACUUGCAUCAUUUUUCAGUAUAUUUAUAACUUUACCAGAUAAGAUGACACAGACUCUUUUUCUCUUUCUCACCCAUCUAUAAUUUUCCUCGUAACUGCUUUGACCUUUUUCUUAUACCAAGGCUGCUAGCUUAUGGCUGGAUCUAAACUUGUUAACUUUAGCUGUAGCCACGUUACCUUUAUUAGCUUCUUUAAAAUGUCCAUUUUCAGCUGGUGAGGGUGAUUUAAGUGUCUGAUUAGGUCUCUUGCUAAGAACAUUUGCCGGUUCUGUCCCAAUUUACUUUGCCAGUUUUGUGUUUUCCCUACUCACAGUGAAGAACUCGCUAAUGGCCACAGCCAAAUGCUAGCGGGUGGCUGCAUGACAAGGACCAUCUCACAAUUGGGUGCACGUGAGGCUAGCCGACAGUAUACAUGUUUGAGAACAGAUGACCAUGCAACAUCACCUCCAUGGACCCAGACAUUUUGUGUCUACAACAAAUAGCAGGAUUCACUGGAAGAAUCCACAAUUUUUACAAGUCUGAAUAUCAUGUAUCAGCACCCAAACUUGGAAUACUCCUUGCAGAAGGCCAAUGGCUGCCUGGGCUCAAAUGGAGGCUUGUAAUCCAAACACUGAGGGUGACAGCUCCCCCACCAGAUACGGAGGAGCAACAGCAGGAUGGGGAGAAGGUGGUGAGGGGAGAAGGUGUGCUGCAAGAUGCAUCUGGGGACCAAAUUGCAGAUUCAGGCAGCCAUCAGUGUGCUUAUGUCUAGAGGUGUGAAUGUGUGUAUGAAGCACACUGACCCUCCAUCACAGCUGCCUGCCAGCUGGCCAGAAACCUACAAAAUACUCAGGAUAGCU